GGGUUGUGAGGUUAAGCGACUAAGCGUACACGGUGGAUGCCUUGGCAGUCAGAGGCGAUGAAGGGCGUGCUAAUCUGCGAUAAGCGCCGGUAAGGUGAUAUGAACCGUUAUAACCGGCGAUACCCGAAUGGGGAAACCCAGUGUGACUCGUCACACUAUCAUUAACUGAAUCCAUAGGUUAAUGAGGCGAACCGGGGGAACUGAAACAUCUAAGUACCCCGAGGAAAAGAAAUCAACCGAGAUUCCCCCAGUAGCGGCGAGCGAACGGGGAGGAGCCCAGAGCCUGAAUCAGCAUGUGUGUUAGUGGAAGCGUCUGGAAAGGCGCGCGAUACAGGGUGACAGCCCCGUACACAAAAGCGCAUGUGCUGUGAGCUCGAUGAGUAGGGCGGGACACGUGGUAUCCUGUCUGAAUAUGGGGGGACCAUCCUCCAAGGCUAAAUACUCCUGACUGACCGAUAGUGAACCAGUACCGUGAGGGAAAGGCGAAAAGAACCCCGGCGAGGGGAGUGAAAAAGAACCUGAAACCGUGUACGUACAAGCAGUGGGAGCACCCUUUGGGGUGUGACUGCGUACCUUUUGUAUAAUGGGUCAGCGACUUAUAUUCUGUAGCAAGGUUAACCGAAUAGGGGAGCCGGAGGGAAACCGAGUCUUAACCGGGCGUUAAGUUGCAGGGUAUAGACCCGAAACCCGGUGAUCUAGCCAUGGGCAGGUUGAAGGUUGGGUAACACUAACUGGAGGACCGAACCGACUAAUGUUGAAAAAUUAGCGGAUGACCUGUGGCUGGGGGUGAAAGGCCAAUCAAACCGGGAGAUAGCUGGUUCUCCCCGAAAGCUAUUUAGGUAGCGCCUCGUGAAUUCAUCUCCGGGGGUAGAGCACUGUUUCGGCUAGGGGGCCAUCCCGGCUUACCAACCCGAUGCAAACUGCGAAUACCGGAGAAUGUUAUCACGGGAGACACACGGCGGGUGCUAACGUCCGUCGUGAAGAGGGAAACAACCCAGACCGCCAGCUAAGGUCCCAAAGUCAUGGUUAAGUGGGAAACGAUGUGGGAAGGCCCAGACAGCCAGGAUGUUGGCUUAGAAGCAGCCAUCAUUUAAAGAAAGCGUAAUAGCUCACUGGUCGAGUCGGCCUGCGCGGAAGAUGUAACGGGGCUAAACCAUGCACCGAAGCUGCGGCAGCGAACGUAUCACUUAAAGCGAUUCAGCGGGUUACGAUUGACGGAGCGAAGCGACGUCAAAGCGUAUACAAAGUCG
rnacentral:rRNA from 1 species